GGGAAGAUGGCCGAGUGGUUAAGGCGCUACGUUUAGGUAUUUAGUACCCAAAUCCGUAGUGGGAAACCGCGUGAGUUCGAACCUCACUCUUCUCA